rnacentral:tRNA from 1 species
GCCGGAGUGGCGGAAUGGCAUACGCAGAGGUUUCAAAAACCUCCGCCCGCAAGGGCUUGAGGGUUCGACUCCCUCCUCCGGCACCA